GUAAUAAAUUUAGCCUACCCACCUUAAUAAAUUAACUUCUUUUAAUUAACUAAAUAAAACAUUUAUAUCAUUUUAGUAUAGGAGAUAAAAAAACUCAUUAGCGCAAUAUAAAUAGUACUGUAAAGGAAAAAUGAAAUAGAAAUUAAAUAAACCAUAAAAACAAUAAAAAGCAAAGAUUUAACCUUGUACCUUUUGCAUAAUGGUCUAGUAAGUUUAACCUAACACAAAGAACUUAAGUUAGAUACCCCGAAACUAAACGAGCUACUCCGAAGCAGCAAAACGAGCCAACCCUUCUCUGUGGCAAAAGAGUGGGAUGACUUCCUAGUAGUGGUGAUAAACCUAACGAGCUUAG
rnacentral:rRNA from 1 species